GCUAUCUCUCGAGCACAGGUUGAGGUUCGUCCUCAAUGGGAAAAUGAAGCACCUAACAACGCAUCUUCACAGACCAAGAACUACAAGAUCACCCUUUCAUUCUGGGGUGACGGAGGGAUCGUACCAUUCGAGCCUUUUUUUCAUGCUUUUCCUGGCGGUCUGGAGAAAGCAGCAAUCAAUAGGACUUUCCUAAUCCUCCUUUCCUUUCAGGCCUGGAGUGUAGAUCUAUAUGUCCGAGGCGACGGCUGCCCUCCUGGGGCCAGGUGGCAACUACCUACCGGAUAG
rnacentral:rRNA from 1 species